rnacentral:misc_RNA from 1 species
UUAUGUUGAAAAGGUAUUAAUUUUUGAAAAUGCCAGAGCCAUGGCAUUAAUCAAGCCCCAAGAGCAUCAUCAUACAAAAUAUACAGGAGAUCCUGUGGCAUAUUUAUCAGCCAAUUACAUGGCAGAAUGCCCUGUACACUCAUUUUUUUUGGAUAGUCAACUACUCUAUUAGCAGUCCUCUUAGCAAUGGAAAACAAAGUAGAAGAAAAAGUUUGUUUCAAAUUAAUAAUAGCUGACACUGUAGCUUGGAUCUCCCAGCACUCAUUUUUUGUGUGGCCAAUAAGAGUGGAUAAGAGAAUCUCUGAAUCAGCCUCAAAGACAACCCAGUCAAUGCCCCUCUGCCUGGCAAGCUUCAAAGCUUCCAACACUUAUGAGAUCUCAUUAUUGUCUAGCCGAAUGAGGGGCAAUAGUCAAAGGCAAGUCAUCAACACUUUAAUCCUUGGGGUUCUCUCUUCCUCGGAGCAAAUUGAGAAAACUUUGUCUCCUAGUGAUUCCAAGCUCACAACAAUCAGAAGAGAAUUAAGACUUGUCUUCGUCUAUGUAAUUCGAAGCACAAGUCACAGUAAACACUAGAGCAGUCCUGAAGAAACUCUCCAUUUGCAACACCAACCAGUCGACCAAAAGAAAUUCAAAAGUACAUACAACCCAACCCAGCUAUGAGUAGCGAAACACACAAAUUAGGCAGAGACAGAGGAACCUCCCUCUAUCUGGAGGGACAGGAGAGAUUGAGAAUGACAGGAAAAAGAGCCGACGACUAUCAAACUGAAAACAGAAGAAAAUAAGAAUCUAUCUCUCAAAAGGAAAAAGAGAGAAGGUUUUGGCCUUGAACCUUCCCCUUUGAACCUUCUCCUUUGAG